rnacentral:rRNA from 1 species
GACGUAGGGCGCGAGCGUUGUCCGGAUUUAUUGGGCGUAAAGAGCUCGUAGGCGGCUUGUCGCGUCGAAUGUGAAAACCCACAGCUCAACCCCCGGGCCUGCAGUCGAUACGGGCAGACUAGAGUGCGGUAGGGGAGACUGGAAUUCCUGGUGUAGCGGUGAAAUGCGCAGAUAUCAGGAGGAACACCGGUGGCGAAGGCGGGUCUCUGGGCCGUAACUGACGCUGAGGAGCGAAAGCGUGGGGAGCGAACAGG